rnacentral:rRNA from 1 species
UACGUGAGGUCCAAGCGUUAUCCGGAAUUACUGGGCGUAAAGCGUCCGCAGCCGGAUAGUUAAGUCUAGAGUUAAAUUUUGGGGCCCAACUCCAAAAUCGUUCUGGAAACUGGCUAUCUAGAGUAGUGCAGAGGUAGGCGGAAUUCCUAUUGUAGGGGUAAAAUCCGUAGAUAAUAGGAGGAACACCAAAUGCGAAGGCAGCCUACUGGGCACUUACUGACGGUCAGGGACGAAAGCGUGGGGAGCGAACGGG